rnacentral:rRNA from 1 species
UGGGGAAUAUUGGGCAAUGGGCGAAAGCCUGACCCAGCAACGCCGCGUGAAGGAUGAAGGUUUUCGGAUUGUAAACUUCUUUUAUAUGGGACGAAGAAAGUGACGGUACCAUAUGAAUAAGCCACGGCUAACUACGUGCCAGCAGCCGCGGUAAUACGUAGGUGGCAAGCGUUGUCCGGAUUUACUGGGUGUAAAGGGCGAGUAGGCGGGACUUCAAGUCAGAUGUGAAAUUUAGAGGCUCAACCUCUAAACUGCAUUUGAAACUGUAGUUCUUGAGUGAUGGAGAGGCAGGCGGAAUUCCCGGUGUAGCGGUGGAAUGCGUAGAUAUCGGGAGGAACACCAGUGGCGAAGGCGGCCUGCUGGACAUUAACUGACGCUGAGGAGCGAAAGCGUGGGGAGCAAACA